GACAGAGGUGCCGAGCGUUAGGCGGAAUCACUGGGCUUAAAGCGUGUGUAGGCGGAUCGUUAAGUACCUUGUGAAAUCCCACGGCUUAACCGUGGAACUGCUGGGUAUACUGGCGAUCUUGAGCCACCUAGGGGCAACCGGAACAAAUGGUGGAGCGGUGAAAUGCGUAGAUAUCAUUUGGAACGCCAAUGGUGAAAACAGGUUGCUGGGGGGUGUGCUGACGCUGAGACACGAAAGCCAGGGGAGCGAACGGG
rnacentral:rRNA from 1 species